CGAGCGGACCGACGGGAGCUUGCUCCCUUAGGUCAGCGGCGGACGGGUGAGUAACACGUGGGUAACCUGCCUGUAAGACUGGGAUAACUCCGGGAAACCGGGGCUAAUACCGGAUGCUUGAUUGAACCGCAUGGUUCCAAUCAUAAAAGGUGGCUUUUAGCUACCACUUACAGAUGGACCCGCGGCGCAUUAGCUAGUUGGUGAGGUAACGGCUCACCAAGGCGACGAUGCGUAGCCGACCUGAGAGGGUGAUCGGCCACACUGGGACUGAGACACGGCCCAGACUCCUACGGGAGGCAGCAGUAGGGAAUCUUCCGCAAUGGACGAAAGUCUGACGGAGCAACGCCGCGUGAGUGAUGAAGGUUUUCGGAUCGUAAAACUCUGUUGUUAGGGAAGAACAAGUACCGUUCGAAUAGGGCGGCACCUUGACGGUACCUAACCAGAAAGCCACGGCUAACUACGUGCCAGCAGCCGCGGUAAUACGUAGGUGGCAAGCGUUGUCCGGAAUUAUUGGGCGUAAAGCGCGCGCAGGCGGUUUCUUAAGUCUGAUGUGAAAGCCCCCGGCUCAACCGGGGAGGGUCAUUGGAAACUGGGGAACUUGAGUGCAGAAGAGGAGAGUGGAAUUCCACGUGUAGCGGUGAAAUGCGUAGAGAUGUGGAGGAACACCAGUGGCGAAGGCGACUCUCUGGUUCUGUAACUGACG
rnacentral:rRNA from 1 species